rnacentral:pre_miRNA from 1 species
UUUCUACACCCUCCGUCCAAAAAUACUUGUCAUCAAAAUGGAUAAAAAGAGAUGUAUCUAAAACUAAAAUACGUCUAGAUACAUUUCCUUUUAUCCAUUUUGAUGACAAGUAUUUCCGGACAGAGGGAGUAUUUG